rnacentral:lncRNA from 1 species
GGGCACCUCAAACUCAACUCCAAAAUUGAUCUAAUGAACUUUCCCAAACCACAUUCCCUUCUUGCAUUUCUGAGAGAAUGGAUUCCCAUUCAUCUGACUACAGUGCUAUCCUGAAAGCAGAUCCAGAGACUUAGAUUUCACAUGCAGAUGAUUCAUUCGCAAGGUAAGCUGUCAUCAGUUGGAGGUAAGCGGAAGACAGUAGAGAGUACAGAGCCCUGGACUGUGACUCAGAGGAUGAGCACCAGAUCCAGUUUGCUGUGCCACAGUGGUAAGUCACCUAACCUUUAUGUGCUUGGAUUCCUCAUAUGUAAUACAGGAUCACAACUAUUGUUCUCACUCAUGCAAUACUACUAUUGUGAGAACCUCAUGAAUUAG